GAUGAAGAACGCAGCGAAAUGCGAUAAGUAAUGUGAAUUGCAGAAUUCAGUGAAUCAUCGAAUCUUUGAACGCACAUUGCGCCCGCCAGUAUUCUGGCGGGCAUGCCUGUCUGAGCGUCAUUUCAACCCUCAAGCAACUUCUGCUUGGUGUUGGGGAUCGGCCGUCAAACGUCGCCCCCGAAAUCUAUUGGCGAUCUCGCUGUAGCUUCCUAUGCGUAGUAGUAACAUCUCGCAUCUGGAGAGCGGCGCGGUCAUGCCGUAAAACUCCCAACUUCUCAGGUUGACCUCAGAUCAGGUAGGAAUACCCGCUGAACUUAAGCAUAUCAAUAAGCGGAGGA
rnacentral:misc_RNA from 1 species